CAUGGACACAGGUGGUCAAUCUCUGUGUACACAUGGACACAGGUGGUCAAUCUCUGUGUACACAUGGCCACAGGUGGUCAAUCUCUGUGUACCCCACCUGAAGGGUACACAUAGUCACAGGUGGCCAAUCUCUGUGUACCCCACCUGAAGGAUACACAUGGCCACAGGUGGUCAAUCUCUGUGUACCCCACCUGAAGGGUACACAUGGCCACAGGUGGUCAAUCUCUGUGUACCCCACCUGAAGGAUACACAUGGCCACAGGUGGUCAAUCUCUGUGUACCCCACCUGAAGGAUACACAUGGCCACAGGUGGUCAAUCUCUGUGUACCCCACCUGAAGGGUACACAUGGCCACAGGUGCAUUAGCUGGGACUAGUAUCAUUCCAGUCAGACAUGAUG